rnacentral:lncRNA from 1 species
GAUCAUCUAGCGUGUCUCCACCGGACUCAGCCAUGGUGGCGUCUCCAUCCAGCUCAGCCGUGGUGCCUCCACCCGGCUCGGCCACGGCAUCGUCUCCACCUGGCUCAGCCACAGUGCCUCCGUCCGGCUCAACCACGGCAUCAUCUCCAUCUGGCUCAACCACAGCAUCGUCUCCACCCGGCUCAUCCACGGUGCCUCCAUCCGGCUCAACCACAGCAUCGUCUCCACCCGGCUCAUCCACGGUGCCUCCAUCCGGCUCGGCCGUGGCACCUGCCCCAUCUUCGCCUGGGCACCCCGAGUCCGCUCCUGCGCCAGGCUCUCCCCCGCCAGCCGUGAGCCGCAGCCCCGAGGACACCUCGGCCGACCCGGCCGGCAGCUCGGCCUCAGCAUUGCACCCGGCAGCGGGGACCAUGGCCACCGAAGUGCAGCCCCCCGCCAAGACGAACCCCGGCCUCAUCGUCGUCGUCUGCCUCUUCGUGGCGGUGCUGGCGGCGGGAGCGGCGGUGCUGCUGGUGCGGCUGUGCCGGCGCGGGCGCCCCCGGUUCAGGCGCCUGGACGAGGUGCCCCUGGGCAAGGUGACGGAAGGGUCCCCCUUCGCUCGCUACCCGCCCAGGUGACCCGGCGGCUCCCGGGAGCCCGGCCCCGGCGCGGCCACGCUGGACGGGGCCGUCCCCGCGGUGCCGUGGGGCUGCCCGCGCCGCUGAAUAAAGCAGCUGCCAGUUUGGCCGAUUCUCCCCGU